GGACCCGCACAAGCAGUGGAGCAUGUGGUUUAAUUCGAUGAUACGCGAGAAACCUUACCAGCUCUUGUAUCCUAGUCGCGAUUUUCAGAGAUGAAUUUCUUCAGUUCGGCUGGACUAGUGACAGGUGUUGCAUGGCUGUCGUCAGCUCGUGUCGUGAGAUGUUAGGUUAAGUCCUUUAACGAGCGCAACCCCUAUCCUUAUUUGCCAUCAGGUUAUGCUGGGAACUAUAAGGAAACUGCCAACGACAAGUUGGAGGAAGGUGGGGAUGAUGUCAAGUCAUCAUGGCCCUUAUGGGCUGGGCUACACACAUGCUACAAUGGUGGUUACAAUAGGUCGCGAAAGAGUAAUCUGGAGCCAAUCCUUAAAGACCAUCUCAGUUCGGAUUGGGGGCUGCAACUCGCCCCCAUAAAGUUGGAAUU
rnacentral:rRNA from 1 species